UGAACGCUAGCGACAGGCCUAACACAUGCAAGUCGAGGGGCGAGCACAAGGAGCAAUCUGAGGUGGCGACCGGCGCACGGGUGAGUAACACGUAUGCAACCUGCCUGUAAGCGGGGAAUAACCCGUUGAAAGACGGACUAAUACCGCAUAAUACUAAAUUACUGCAUGGUAAUUUAUUUAAACAUUUAUGGCUUACAGAUGGGCAUGCGCAUGAUUAGCUAGUUGGAGAGGUAACGGCUCCCCAAGGCAACGAUCAUUAGGGGUUCUGAGAGGAAGGUCCCCACACUGGUACUGAGACACGGACCAGACUCCUACGGGAGGCAGCAGUGAGGAAUAUUGGUCAAUGGACGAGAGUCUGAACCAGCCAAGUCGCGUGCAGGAAGAAUGUCCUUAAUGGAUUGUAAACUGCUUUUGCAGGGGAAUAAAGUGCAUCACGUGUGAUGUUUUGUAUGUACUCUGCGAAUAAGGAUCGGCUAACUCCGUGCCAGCCGCUGC
rnacentral:rRNA from 1 species